rnacentral:misc_RNA from 1 species
GGGGUGCGUAGGAUAAGCAGAGGGGGGUGUAGUUUAAGAGCUUGGUUAUCUAGCUAUGGUGGAGUUGAUUUGAGGUGUAAAAACACUGAAUUUGUUUAAAGGGUAGUGAUUUUAGCUCAAAUCUUGACUUGGGUGUUGCUUGUUUUCUUGACUUGAGGUGGUUAGCUAGGUUAGCUUAACUAUAAUGGCAGUUGCUGUGCAGUUUAGCUGUUUAAAGAGGAAAAGAGGAGUUUUUCUUGUAGUUUUUAUGUUGGUUUACUUGUGGGGUUCUUUGAUUUCAUUAUCUUGUGCUGCUAGACUAUCUGUUUCAAGACAGAAGCUUGAGGUUGAAAAACACUUGAAAAGGGUCAAUAAACCUCCCAUUAAAAGCAUUGAGAGUUUAGAUGGGGAUAUCAUUGACUGUAUACACAUCUCUCAGCAGCCUGCUUUUGACCACCCAUUCCUCAAAGAUCACAAAAUCCAGAUGAGACCUAGCUACCAUCCAGAAGGGCUUUAUGAUGAGGAGAAAAUGACAACAAGGUCUAAAGAUAGUACUAGUCCCAUAACUCAGUUGUGGCAUAUGAAUGGAAGAUGCCCUGAGGACACUAUUCCUGUUAGGAGAACAAAAAAAGAUGAUGUUUUGAGGGCAAGUUCUGUCAAAAAGUAUGGUAAGAAGAAGCCCAAAGCCAUUGCUAAGCCAAGGUCUACAGAUCCUGACCUUACCAAUGAAAGUGGCCAUCAGCAUGCAAUAGCUUAUGUUGAAGGAGAUAGGUAUUAUGGAGCUAAAGCAACCAUUAAUGUUUGGGAGCCUAAGGUACAACAGUCUAAUGAGUUUAGCUUAUCUCAGCUUUGGAUUCUUG